GAUGAACGCUGGCGGCGUGCUUAACACAUGCAAGUCGAACGGGAAACCUUUUAUUGAAGCUUCGGCAGAUUUAACUGGUUUCUAGUGGCGGACGGGUGAGUAACGCGUGGGUAACCUGCCUUGUACAGGGGGAUAACAGUCAGAAAUGACUGCUAAUACCGCAUAAGCGCACAGGACCGCAUGGUCCGGUGUGAAAAACUCCGGUGGUAUAAGAUGGACCCGCGUUGGAUUAGCUUGUUGGUGGGGUAACGGCCCACCAAGGCGACGAUCCAUAGCCGGCCUGAGAGGGUGAACGGCCACAUUGGGACUGAGACACGGCCCAGACUCCUACGGGAGGCAGCAGUGGGGAAUAUUGCACAAUGGGGGAAACCCUGAUGCAGCGACGCCGCGUGAAGGAAGAAGUAUCUCGGUAUGUAAACUUCUAUCAGCAGGGAAGAAAAUGACGGUACCUGACUAAGAAGCCC
rnacentral:rRNA from 1 species